rnacentral:pre_miRNA from 1 species
CAGGCUUGGGGUCUCAGAAGGCAGCACUUUGGGGGCGUCUCUGCCAUGGCCUGGGCUCUGCUCCUCCUCACUCUUCUCUCUCAGGGCACAGGUGA